UCUCAGUCGGUAGAGCAUGGGACUCUUAAUCCCAGGGUUGUGGGUUUGAGCCCCAC
rnacentral:tRNA from 1 species